CAGUCGCCGCGGGAAUACGUAGGUGGCAAGCGUUGUCCGGAAUUAUUGGGCGUAAAGGGCUCGCAGGCGGUUUCUUAAGUCUGAUGUGAAAGCCCCCGGCUCAACCGGGGAGGGUCAUUGGAAACUGGGAAACUUGAGUGCAGAAGAGGAGAGUGGAAUUCCACGUGUAGCGGUGAAAUGCGUAGAGAUGUGGAGGAACACCAGUGGCGAAGGCGACUCUCUGGUCUGUAACUGACGCUGAGGAGCGAAAGCGUGGGGAGCGAACAGGAUUAGAUACCCCCGUAGUCCCUGUCUCUUAUAU
rnacentral:rRNA from 1 species